rnacentral:rRNA from 1 species
UCCAGACUCCUACGGGAGGCAGCAGUGGGGGAUAUUGCACAAUGGGGGGAACCCUGAUGCAGCGACGCCGCGUGGGUGAAGGAGCGUUUCGGCGCGUAAAGCCCUAUCGGCAGGGAAGAAGGAGGACGGUACCUGACUAAGAAGCCCCGGCUAACUACGUGCCAGCAGCCGCGGUAAUACGUAGGGGGCAAGCGUUAUCCGGAUUUACUGGGUGUAAAGGGGGCGCAGACGGCAGCGCAAGCCAGGAGUGAAAGCCCGGGGCCCAACCCCGGGACUGCUCUUGGAACUGCGCGGCUGGAGUGCAGGAGGGGCAGGCGGAAUUCCUGGUGUAGCGGUGAAAUGCGUAGAUAUCAGGAGGAACACCGGUGGCGAAGGCGGCCUGCUGGACUGCGACUGACGUUGAGGCCCGAGAGCGUGGGGAGCAAACAGGAUUAGAUACCCGAGUAU